GGAGUUAGCCGGUGCUUCUUCUGCGAGUAACGUCACAGAUGUAAGGUAUUAACUUACACCCUUUCCUCCUCGCUGAAAGUGCUUUACAACCCGAAGGCCUUCUUCACACACGCGGCAUGGCUGCAUCAGGGUUUCCCCCAUUGUGCAAUAUUCCCCACUGCUGCCUCCCGUAGGAGUCUGGGCCGUGUCUCAGUCCCAGUGUGGCUGAUCAUCCUCUCAGACCAGCUAGGGAUCGUCGACUAGGUGAGCCUUUACCUCACCUACUAGCUAAUCCCACCUGGGCUUAUCCAUCAGCGCAAGGCCCGAAGGUCCCCUGCUUUCCCCCGUAGGGCGUAUGCGGUAUUAGCAGUCGUUUCCAACUGUUAUCCCCCACAAAUGGGCAAAUUCCCAGGCAUUACUCACCCGUCCGCCGCUCGUCAUCUUCAAAGCAAGCUUUUGAAAUGUUACCGCUCGACUUGCAUGUGUUAGGCCUGCCGCCAGCGUUCAAUCUGAGCCAGAAUCAAACUCUGA
rnacentral:rRNA from 1 species